ensembl:lncRNA
GAGGUUCAGGCUAGGGGUCCAAUCAGAACCACAGCCACUGGCCUACGCCACAGCCACAGCCACAGCAUAUCUGAGCUCAUGGCAACACCAGAUCUUUAACCCACUAAGCGAGGCCAGGGAUCGAACCUGAAUCCUCAUGGGCACUAGUCAGAUUUGCUUCCACUGAGCCAUGAUGGGAACUCCAACACUGGAUCCCUUAACCCACUGCACCUUGCCAGGGAUCAAAGCCAAGCCUCUGCAGCCACCCAAGCUACUGCAGUUGGAUUCUUAACCCACUGAGCCACAGCAAGAACUCCCAGAAUUUAUGUAUUAACAAGCUCUCCAGGUGAUCUGUAUGCAUUUUAAAUUUUGAGAAACACCAGUCUAGAUCAAUAAUUUUCAAGCUGUGUUUCACAGAGAUUUUGAAAAGUACUCAAGAGCCGCCUAAAGGAAGGAGGUAGAGAGCAUGCAAGGAGAGCCUUAUUGAAAUCAUACUAGCCAGAACUUUAUCUGUUCACAUAGUAAAAUUCUACAGAAUAUUUCAUUUGGGAAAAAAGUUUCACUCUGGGGAGAAAAAAAUUUAACCACUGAUCUAUCUAAUUGGCAUGAUUUUCUCAUAAGUUGUAGAAGGUUCUCCAGUUGCUUCAUUUUGCUGGCUCAGAUAUUAAAAAAACCCAUAAAACUCCCUCACAGCCUGUUUUGUGACCCUUUUUCCUUCCUUGCCUGGAUAUCCACAAAAAAGAGUAUGGGAUGGUUUAUCUCACUAUAUAUUUUUAUUUUAUAAAAAUAAAAAGGUCUUAGACUUCUAUGGCAUGAAAGUGAAAAUACAGGAUAGGACAUCUGUCCUUUUAUCUCAAAUCUCUACACUACACACACUAGUCCUAAUCUUUUGGGGCAAUAUGGUUAUAGAGCCUCUACUGUCCCCCUAAAAGCUUCUGAUUUAAAUCACAGAUAGAAAUAAAGAUUCACUAGCACUUCAAGCAUAAAACUUUGAAUAAUUUACAUGUCAUUCACAUUCCAGAGUGAAUUAUCAUCCAGUGGUAAUUAGUUUUCUACGGUUUCUAGCAGCUACUUCUGUUUUUCUGAGUUUCUAGAAAUGACUUUAAUUUAUUUUUGUUGUUGUUGUUGUUUUUGUUUUUUUGUCUUUUUGCCAUUUCUUGGGCCGCUCCCGCGGCACAUGGAGGUUCCUGUUACUGACCUUCUCCCCAAGAAUUGGGGGAAUUCUGAGGUCUCUAUGCAGUAUGAACUAGAAAAGAAUAUGAGUGACUAAGGAUGAUCUCUAAAAUCAAACAUAACUAGCAUAAGAUAAUCUACCCAGUAGGUUUGUCAGCCACAAACAUAUUUCCAUGGAGGAAUGUUCAUGAGUUGACUCACUCCGCUUUCAAAAUAUCAUCUACCAUACAUAGUCCCUGAUCACAUUAGUAUAGGGAAAAAUUACAGGCUCCAUGGGUAGCGGCAAGUUCAUCCAUGGUACCAUAUUCAGCUCCCUACCUGAACUAUUAGAUUUCCACCAAGCAACAUACUAGCCCAAGAUCAAAUCCAACAUUGAAUACCAAGAAGCUAUAAAUAAUGAAAUGGGAGUUCCCACUGCGGUGCAGCAGAAACGAAUCCGACUAGGAACCAUGAGAUUGCAGGUUCGAUCCCUGGCCUUGCUCAGUGGGUUAAGGAUCUGGCGUUGCUAUGAGCUGUGGUGUGUAGGUCGAAGACGUGGCUCAGAUCUGGUGUUGCUGUGGUUCUGGCAUAGCCGGGUGGCUACAGCUGAUUAGACCCAUAACCCGGGAACCUCCAUGUGCCGAGGGUGUGGCCCUAAAAAGGACAAAAGACAAAAAAAAAAAACUAAAUGGCUCUCAGAAAGACUCAGUCCAGAUUUGCAAUCUCCAGGAAAAGGAGGCAAAAACAACAAAAGAAGAGAAACAGUUAAAAGAAUGAGCUAUCCUGUAAAUACAGGCAGAAAUCAGGUUGCUUGUUAGAAGAGCUCAUGUCCUCCUUCCCCAGUUUUCCCAAAGGAUGAGAGAGAGAACUGGCUGCAAUAAAAGUGAGUCCUAAAAAGGGCCCCAAUCCCCUGUAGCUCCAGUGACAAACUCUCUCUCUGAAAGCUUUGAUUAAAUCCAACUCUUUUCUAAAAUAAGGUCUAUUUUAAAAAUUGAUUGUUGGAUGUAGGAGAUGAGUGCAUCAGGGCUCACUACACUAUUCUACUUUUUUGUGUGUCUACAAACUCCAUUAAACAAGUUUAAAAAUAUAUAUGAAACAUACAUCCACAUAAAAGUUUGUACACCAAUUUCAUAGAAUUAUCCAUAAUAGCCAAAAAGUAGAAACAACUGUUUUCCAUCCAUUCAUCACUGGUGAAUGAAUAAAUAAAAUACAUACAAUAAAAUAUUAUUAGCAACAAAAAAGGAAUGACACACUGUUAUAUGCAAAAACACACACAUUAUGCUCACGAAAAAAACCAGUCACAAAUGACCACAUACUGUAUGAUUCUAUUUAUAUAAAAUGGCCAGAAAAGGUAAAUCUAUAGACAGAAAGUGUCUGAUAGGCUGGGGUGAGUGGGUGGAUGAGAUUAACAACCAAGAAUGAGGUAAUAAAAACAUUCUAAAAUUGAUCAUAGUGUUAGAUGCACAACUCUGUGAAUAUACUAAAAGUCACUGAACUGUACACUCUAAAUGGGCAAAUUGUAUGGUACAUGAAUUAUGGCUCAAUAAAGCUGCUAAAAAAUGUGUAUGAUAUUAAAAAAAAGGUCCUCCAGAGCCCAAACUUCCCAUUCUUUUCCUCUCCUGUGUCUCCAAAAUGCUGAAGAAAGCUAUUUGCUUCUGUCUUUUCCCUAAGGUAAAUUAGAGGGAAAAAAAAAUCCUACUCCCUGAACAUAUGUCAGGACAAGGAGUUAGGAGAUGAGAAUUCCAUUAAUGGAACAUAUAAUGAGCAGAGUACUUUGAUAAACAGGGGAAAUCAACUUCACAUCCACAGGUCUUUAGAAGACUCUUCAUGCAACCUGUUCAUGCUCUUUUUUCAGAUUAAGUUACAGUCCUACACACAGAGCUGUCAUGGUGAGGAGACUGACAACCCUGGCAAUCUGGCUAUAACCUAGACCUGGUAUAAAAUUUAACAGAUUCAAUAAGGGAAGAGAAAGAAUACAGGGGCCUCAGGAAAAAAUUAACACACAUCUACAUACAAAGGAUAGAAAUGAUCUGUUUCAUUAGCUGAAGACUGGACUAUCAGGAAGACAUCUUCAGAAUGCCAACAUUCCAAUGGCCUGGUUUAAACAGACAGUAAUUAUACACACAAACCAUAUUGAGCAAGAGUGCUGGGGGCAAAAAGUCUAAAGAAUGGCCUGGUACCUCCUUUUAGAACCUUCAUCUCACUUUCUCUAAAAUAAAUUUCUCUCUCUCGAAACAUGAUUCAUGAAAGAAGAUUACUACCUCAAACUCCCUAAGAGGAAAUUUUUAAUUUUUAUAACUUAUAAACAGAAAUUUGGCUAUCUGAAGCACACAUGCAUAACAAAGUUUAGGAAAGGGGAGGUAACACCCUGGGACUAACAGGAGGAAAUGCUAAAGUUACCUCAAAACCUCAGCAAGGAAGGAAGAGAAUCACACCAUGCAACACCUACUCGGACUGCCUACUCAAUCAUCUCCCAAAAUAGAAGCAGCCAGAAGGGCAAGGGCUGUUGCUUCCAUUAAGUGAUAUAGUCAUACACCUCAAAGCCCUGCCUUCAGAAGCUUCAGUGUUAUAUGACACAAGACCGUCCUGCCUUGCUUCACUGCAUUGAUUAGCCACUGAAGCUUUGAAGUAAAUAUUACCAAAGGGCAGCACUGGUCCUCAGACUUCCUGCCCAGUUGUCCCCCACCUGCCUGCCUAUACUCUGUGCACUACUGCAUGGACAGUCUCAGUUUGAUAGAACAUUAUAUUGAUUUACUGCUACUGCUAAGCAUUUGUGAAAACUCCCAGUGUUACAGACAUGGUUCUUAGCUCUCAGAAAGAAUGCUUUUCCUGAACUCCCCUCCUUACUUUUUUACUUUGUGAGGUGGAAACCAACCAAUGUAGUUAUUCAUUUUCCAUAUAUACCUAAGUUCCCAGUACCUAAGAUCUACCUUUAAUACUCUGUGGAGUAUAUUUGCCCUUCCUCAGCACUCAAUGGUUAUAAAUAACUGAAAUCAAACAUUUUCAAAGUUAAAUAUCUCUAACUUUCUAUUAAAGCUUAUUUAUUUUAAAUAUAUAUUAGACAUCAAUUUAUCCAAACCCUUUCUGAAUAUGUAUUUCAGCCUGGACAAGGUGAAACAUAACACCAUUAAAAAAAGAUUUCCUAGAGUUCCCUGGUGGCUCAGCCGGCUAAUGAUCUGGCAUUAUCACUGCUAUGGCUCAGAUAGCUGCUGUGGCUUGGAUUAGAUCCCUAGUCCUGGAAUUUCUGCAUGCUACAGGCACAGUGGAAAAAAAUUUUCCUAUUUUGUCCGGAAUUUUCCUUUGUAGAAGGGAGCCUUAGUUCCAGUAUUUUAGAAUUUAUAUCAUCUCAACUGUUACUAAUUUUGGGGGACUGCUUAUGUCCCCUCAAUUUCCCCCUUUCCAGUUGGGCCAGGACGACAUUUUAAAGCCUUCUCUUCUACAUAAUUCUUUCAGCAACAGGGUCUACCCCACUUAGAAAGCCUUUUCCAAUGUUAUACUUUAUAAUUGACAUAGGGCAUAACUUUAGUGCUGGCAGCAUCCUUUCAACUUUUUCACACUGAGAAAACAGCAACAUUUCUACCUUCAAGCACUACUAUGGUGUGCCCUGCCUCAAAUGAAGCCUACCUGUCCACAUCCUCCAGAUUAUCCACUGGUGACCCCAGUCGAUCACUAAGCCGCCGUCGUUCAGGUAUGCCAACGCAGAAAUGGUCAUUGCCAACAGUGAUCCUUAAGCUCUGUUCCAAAGAGUCAGAACGCAGACCAGGAGAGCGUCUCUACAAAAGUAAAAGAUUAUAGUCAAAAGAGUCAAAACAUCCCUACAUCCAAAAACAUUCUCCUCUCUAGUCACAAAGUUGUGGUCCUACAGGGUGAGCAGUAACUAUAUUAUUCCAAAAAUAAAGGACUUUUGGAGUUCCCACUGUGGUGCAGUGGAUUAAGAAUCCGAUUGCAGUGGCUCCAGUCACUGCAGAAGUACAGGUUCUAUCCCCAGCUGGGCGCAGCGGUUAAAGGAUCUGGCAUUGCCACAGCUGCACCACAGGUCAUAGCUGCCACUCGGAUUCAAUCUCUGGCCCAGGAACUUCCUUACUCAGCAGGUGUGGCCAUAAAAUAAAAUUUAAAACAAAAUAAAGGAUUUUAAAACAAUUAUCAUUUUCUUAGAUGAAAGCCCAUACUUCCAACCCUCCCCAUCAGUGAUCUUUCAUUUCCUUGUACCAGGCAUGGGGCUAGAGGAGUGAAUUAAGUCUGCUCUCAGGACCUACACAUUUCCAGUGAAGGAGGCAAGCCAAAAACAGGUUAAAAAAAAAAAAGUACUUCUGAUAGCGCUAUAAAGUGUUAUAAAGUCAUUAAAACAUGACACACAAAAGACACUGGGAGAAAGGAGCUAUUUCAAAUAAGAUGGUUACAGAAAGCCUUCUGAGGUGAUACCAUUUAACCUGAAGCCUGAAUGAUGAGAAGUCAGUCUUUCGAAGAACAGACAGAUGUUUCAGGAAAAAAGAAUAUGCCCUAUAAAGAGUUUAGCAUGUUCUGGGCAACAGAAAGGUGGCCAGUGUGAUUGCAGCAAAGUGACAGGAGAAGAUGGGCAGAAGCCACAGUUAGGAAAUUUGGAUUUUAUUCUUAGUGUAAUAAAAACCCAUAGAAAGGUUUCAAGCAGGGAAGUGAUAUGAUCUACUACAUACUUCCUCCAGAUUGUUCAUACCCCCAUCUUUUUCAGGUCUUUAUUAAAAAGCCACCUUCCCAGAAGGCCUUCCCUGGCUACCCUACUGAAAACUGUAACUCCUUUCUGUGUUUUCUUUUUCUUAAUACUUAACCAUACUUAACAUGCCAAAACAUUUUACUUCUGUCUUAUUUAUAAUCCAACUUCCUGUUAGAAUCAAGCUCUAUGAGGACAGGGGUCUUGACUAGUUUGUUCACUAUUGUAUCCCUAGUGCCAGAAGAGCAUGGCAGAUGUUCAACAAAUAUUUCUCAAACAUAUAAAAUGUAGAUCUUUAAAAAUCAUUUUGAUUGCUGGGUACAGGAAAAAAAACUGGAUGGUAAUAAGUGUGGAGUGUAAUGCCAUUAUCUGGGCAAGUGGUAAUACAGUUUAGACUAGAUGACAGCAGGAGGACAGUUUUGGGGAUGUAGAGGUGACAGAUGAAGUUAUUCUUACAGAUUGGGAGAAGGGAGAUGAUAACUGUUUCUGGAUGGGCAAUGGAUGAUAUCAUUUACUGAGACAGAAAAGACUGGAGCAAACGGGUUGUGCACUGGAGAAGAAAGGGGAGGCUAUGGAAACUGGUAGUUUUCUGGUUUCCUUACUUUCUCAGUGGAGACUAACAUUCAAACUUUACCUGCUCAGCUAAGAAAAUCUCAAUACAGUGACAAGUCAAAUUCACUUGUAACCAGAGUACCCAGAGCACUUGGCUACUGUCAGAGAGCCACUCAAGCAAAGAGAAAUGUUGUCACUAGGAUUUAAAAAAAAAAAAAAAAAAA